rnacentral:sRNA from 1 species
AGAGGGAGAAUAAAGGCUAAAGAGCGCCACAUCAUGUGGCAAUGCCUUUAUGACUAGUAUCAUGCUGG